rnacentral:rRNA from 1 species
GUAGCAAGGUUAACCGAAUAGGGGAGCCGAAGGGAAACCGAGUCUUAACUGGGCGUUAAGUUGCAGGGUAUAGACCCGAAACCCGGUGAUCUAGCCAUGGGCAGGUUGAAGGUUGGGUAACACUAACUGGAGGACCGAACCGACUAAUGUUGAAAAAUUAGCGGAUGACUUGUGGCUGGGGGUGAAAGGCCAAUCAAACCGGGAGAUAGCUGGUUCUCCCCGAAAGCUAUUUAGGUAGCGCCUCGUGAAUUCAUCUCCGGGGGUAGAGCACUGUUUCGGCAAGGGGGUCAUCCCGACUUACCAACCCGAUGCAAACUGCGAAUACCGGAGAAUGUUAUCACGGGAGACACACGGCGGGUGCUAACGUCCGUCGUGAAGAGGGAAACAACCCAGACCGCCAGCUAAGGUCCCAAAGUCAUGGUUAAGUGGGAAACGAUGUGGGAAGGCCCAGACAGCCAGGAUGUUGGCUUAGAAGCAGCCAUCAUUUAAAGAAAGCGUAAUAGCUCACUGGUCGAGUCGGCCUGCGCGGAAGAUGUAACGGGGCUAAACCAUGCACCGAAGCUGCGGCAGCGACACUAUGUGUUGUUGGGUAGGGGAGCGUUCUGUAAGCCUGUGAAGGUGGCCUGUGAGGGUUGCUGGAGGUAUCAGAAGUGCGAAUGCUGACAUAAGUAACGAUAAAGCGGGUGAAAAGCCCGCUCGCCGGAAGACCAAGGGUUCCUGUCCAACGUUAAUCGGGGCAGGGUGAGUCGACCCCUAAGGCGAGGCCGAAAGGCGUAGUCGAUGGGAAACAGGUUAAUAUUCCUGUACUUGGUGUUACUGCGAAGGGGGGACGGAGAAGGCUAUGUUGGCCGGGCGACGGUUGUCCCGGUUUAAGCGUGUAGGCUGGUUUUCCAGGCAAAUCCGGAAAACCAAGGCUGAGGCGUGAUGACGAGGCACUACGGUGCUGAAGCGACAAAUGCCCUGCUUCCAGGAAAAGCCUCUAAGCAUCAGGUAACAUCAAAUCGUACCCCAAACCGACACAGGUGGUCAGGUAGAGAAUACCAAGGCGCUUGAGAGAACUCGGGUGAAGGAACUAGGCAAAAUGGUGCCGUAACUUCGGGAGAAGGCACGCUGAUAUGUAGGUGAAGCGACUUGCUCGUGGAGCUGAAAUCAGUCGAAGAUACCAGCUGGCUGCAACUGUUUAUUAAAAACACAGCACUGUGCAAACACGAAAGUGGACGUAUACGGUGUGACGCCUGCCCGGUGCCGGAAGGUUAAUUGAUGGGGUUAGCGGCAACGCGAAGCUCUUGAUCGAAGCCCCGGUAAACGGCGGCCGUAACUAUAACGGUCCUAAGGUAGCGAAAUUCCUUGUCGGGUAAGUUCCGACCUGCACGAAUGGCGUAAUGAUGGCCAGGCUGUCUCCACCCGAGACUCAGUGAAAUUGAACUCGCUGUGAAGAUGCAGUGUACCCGCGGCAAGACGGAAAGACCCCGUGAACCUUUACUAUAGCUUGACACUGAACAUUGAGCCUUGAUGUGUAGGAUAGGUGGGAGGCUUUGAAGUGUGGACGCCAGUCUGCAUGGAGCCGACCUUGAAAUACCACCCUUUAAUGUUUGAUGUUCUAACGUUGGCCCGUAAUCCGGGUUGCGGACAGUGUCUGGUGGGUAGUUUGACUGGGGCGGUCUCCUCCUAAAGAGUAACGGAGGAGCACGAAGGUUGGCUAAUCCUGGUCGGACAUCAGGAGGUUAGUGCAAUGGCAUAAGCCAGCUUGACUGCGAGCGUGACGGCGCGAGCAGGUGCGAAAGCAGGUCAUAGUGAUCCGGUGGUUCUGAAUGGAAGGGCCAUCGCUCAACGGAUAAAAGGUACUCCGGGGAUAACAGGCUGAUACCGCCCAAGAGUUCAUAUCGACGGCGGUGUUUGGCACCUCGAUGUCGGCUCAUCACAUCCUGGGGCUGAAGUAGGUCCCAAGGGUAUGGCUGUUCGCCAUUUAAAGUGGUACGCGAGCUGGGUUUAGAACGUCGUGAGACAGUUCGGUCCCUAUCUGCCGUGGGCGCUGGAGAACUGAGGGGGGCUGCUCCUAGUACGAGAGGACCGGAGUGGACGCAUCACUGGUGUUCGGGUUGUCAUGCCAAUGGCACUGCCCGGUAGCUAAAUGCGGAAGAGAUAAGUGCUGAAAGCAUCUAAGCACGAAACUUGCCCCGAGAUGAGUUCUCCCUGACUCCUUGAGAGUCCUGAAGGAACGUUGAAGACGACGACGUUGAUAGGCCGGGUGUGUAAGCGCAGCGAUGCGUUGAGCUAACCGGUACUAAUGAACCGUGAGGCUUAACCUUACAACGCCGAAG